CCCUACGCACACACACGCACACACAUGCGCAGCAAGACUCCUCCCUGGAGGUGGAAGUAGCGGUGAUGUCAGGCUCCUGGACUUGUCUAUUCAACCCGGUCAGGACAGCAGCUUGGUCUUCCCAGGUGAGGAACUGAGGACUGGCCUGUACAGAUUUGUGCAGUAGCGAGGGCCGAGGUAGGGGCAGAUAGACCACCAGACAGGAGGAGAAGGACAGGAGUACAGAUGGAGGGACCAGGACA